UUAAGAGACAUGUUGGCCUCCAAUGGUUCUGCAACCUUAAUGGGUCUUUGAUUCCAUGAUGCUCAUAAAUGAGGUUUGGGAAUAAGAGUUUGGAGAAGUGGCUCCUAUAGGAGCAGGAGACAGGUCUGUUUCCUCCAUGGAAACCUCCUGACAGCUCCCUGUCACUCUGCAGAGUCUGAGUGUGCCGGGUUCUGGUGUCAACAAUGGAGUCACCACUGCUCAGGGGGUGCAGGCUGCACAAGCCUACAUUUUCCCCAGGUGAGUGCAUUUCCUUGGUGAUUUUCUGGUUCCUUUGUUGCCUGUAGAGUGUGGGGUCUGCCAUUCCUCAAGCCUGUGGUAUCAUUUGCUUCUGGAGUUUGCCUCACUUAUUCUUGUGGGUCCCUUCUAAUUCAUAAUGUUGCAAUUCUGUGAUUCUAGGUUUCAGCUUGCUGUGUCUGAGGCUUUUUCCACCCAGCAUAUAAAGGGUGCAGAGAAACACAGGGUCAGAACAGGUAUGGAAUGGGUUCUUGCUGCUUUGACACACAUGGGGUGAUCACACAUGUGUGACCACACAACCUCACAGGCUGCUCCCAAGAGCUCCCUCCUUUCCCAGGGGAACAAGAACAUCCUGGAAAGUUUUCCCUCCCUGUGCUGCCAUACCAGAGGUCAGGCACGAGGAAGCAAGAGCCAGGGCCAAAGCCACCUGCCAGGUGAAACUCUUAUGGGAACAGAUUGGAGGGGUCCUUCCACCCUGGGUGAAAUCCCUCUCAGACACUUGGACUGUGUAGCAGCUCAGGAAGGUCCAGGGGAACAGCUCUAGCUCCCCACUUCUCCUGAACACCUGUGGAGUUUGUCCCCAGCCCAGAUAGGUUUCCUAUCUGCCCCACACUCAUGCUGAUGACUGCUGGUAUUUCUGCAGUGUACUCACCCUAUACCCAGCCAACUCUCUAAGGAUGAGGGAAGCAGGUGGGCAGGAGUUAGCUCCUUCAGCCAGGUCUGACAUCACACUUCUGGCUUCUGAGAACUGCCAGAGAGCACUGCAGGUAUUCGGCGUUGGAGGUGCUUGGGCUCCCCACCGUCCAUCCCAGCCCCCAAGAAAGGGGGUCACUAUGAGGUGGGGAAGGGCUGGAACCCCCCUCCCCACAGAGAAAAUGGCAGAGAGAUUCCAGCCUGGUACCAGGUGGGUGGAUGUGGGACUGUGUGGGCGCAGGGUGGGGCAAGGGGAGAGGCAGCUGGCAGCUCCCCAAGGGAUGACGAUUCCCUCUUGUUGCAGACACCUUUCCUCACGAGCCAUCCAGGUGCUCCGUGGGCUGGAGCCACAUCAGACACAGAGGAACAUCUUCAUGUUUUUGGCUGAGAACAACCGGCGGCGGCAGGAGCAGCAGAGGCAGUUCUGCAGGUAACUCCAAAGGGAUGGAAUUCCCCACAUCCCUCCACUGAGGCAGCCCCGGGGGACAGAAGCGGGACCAGGAGGCUGCCUUUGGGCUGGACUCCCGGAUACACCCAGCAUCGGCUUCCCAUGUGGGACAGAAAAGUCCUGGCUGAAGACAGAGGGACCUUGAUGGCAGGCCAUCCCCUUCCCAAACCUGAGAGCAU
ensembl:lncRNA